rnacentral:rRNA from 1 species
CGCGUAGACGGUUUUUAAGUCUGGAGUGAAAGUCCUGCUUUCAAGGUGGGAAUUGCUUUGGAGACUGGAAGGCUUGAGUGCGGAAGAGGUAAGUGGAAUUCCCAGUGUAGCGGUGAAAUGCGUAGAGAUUGGGAAGAACACCAGUGGCGAAGGCGACUUACUGGGCCGUAACUGACGUUGAUGCGCGAAAGCGUGGGGAGCGAACA